GUUUUUGAAAUAAAUUAUCACUGAAUUUUUCUGUUACUUUACUUAUUAUGCUUUGCGCUAUAUAAUAUAUAGAUAGUUGAACAUUGUGGUUGCCCAUAAAAAUGCCACAUCCUAUUUUCAUUGUUAUGAAGUACCAGAGUUCUUCCCAGUGCACAUGCAAAAGAAUCUCUUGGAAGUUCUGGGUCUUCGUAGAAGAUUAUUUGUUGAUUGUUCUAUCUACUUUUCAUUUCAUCCAGCACUAGCCUCUACUGUUCCAUAUUUUAGGAUAGAAAAUGAAUUGGAAUGUUUGAAAUCUAUUGUAUCAUGAUUGUUUGGCCUGCAUUUCAGGAUCUGUUUAUACGGGAGUUGACUUUUGCAUGAAGCUCUUUGCAGUGUCUAUUGUUCAAAGGUGACACUCCACUGGACAGUCAACUCCAGAUAGGGCUAGACAUAGCUGAUGAACUGCAAACAGUGCUUAUGGAGAUGGUAAAGCAAGACAGUAGGCACCAAUUAAGUGCAAAGG